UGCAUCUGAAGUCUGACGAGGAUGAGAACCUCCGGGGGCAAGAGGUUCGACCCGAGCGAAGCGAGAGAACGUUGCGUCAGCAACGGCCCGCAG
rnacentral:sRNA from 1 species